GGGAUUGUGGCUCAGUGGUAGAGCACUCGCUUCGCAUGUGCGGGACCUGGGUUCAAUCCUCAGCACCA
rfam:Ictidomys tridecemlineatus contig089527, whole genome shotgun sequence.